rnacentral:tRNA from 1 species
GCCCCCGUAGCUCAGCGGAUAGAGCGCUGCCCUCCGGAGGCAGAAGCACAGGUUCGAGUCCUGUCGGGGGUA